CGCAGAUGUGAGGUUUCUGACUUGGGGAGAGGAUGGCCCCUUCUCCGUCUCCGACCAGAGAAGGUUUGGAAGAUGCGCUGGGCUUCCUCUUGGCUUUGAUUCCCUGAGAUUCCGGCUUUGGCCUCUUCGCCUUUUUGACAUUGCAGCUGGGAUCCCUCUGAGGUUGGAAACACUGUCAUAAUGGGCACGUGUCCUUGGCAUUUAUAGGAAGAGCCUACUUUGAAACCGCAAUGCAGCCUUGAGAUACUCCGAGCCGACUUACCUCUGUGUGGUACACCCCAUAUAUCAGGAAGAUGAAGAGACCCUGUAAAAUAAAAUGGAGGGAAAAGGCUGUUAACGCUAAUCAUUUCCGCAG